CAUUUGCCUAAUUAAGCGGUGGCUUUCUAUUCUUAUCCUCCUGGAACUGAAAGAUGAAACUCUAAAUUUUCUUUCAAUCCUCUUUCAAUUUUCUUUUUGAUUAUAUGUUCUUCGCUUUUCUUUCUGAGUCUAUGUUCUUCGUUUGACUUUCAGUCUCAACUGUUGUGCCUUUGUGACUUUUUGGCCUUUUGGUGAGCAUAGUUACUACUUGAAUCAAAUUAAAAAUUUCUGAAUAGAAAACCCAGAAACGACGCUAAGGAUCCGUAACAAAGGAGAAAGAAAAGGUGAGAUAGGGAGAGAGAGGCUCUGGAAGAUUCAAGAAGAGAUAAUUGGAGAUAGAAGUACAUUGAAGCAGAUGCAUUCUCAAAACAAAAACAUUUCUUCGUACCAGGCAGAACGAAAUGCAGAAAUGAAUUUCAGACGGCGUGAGAGGUAUAAACAAAUGGCAUCCACUGAAAAACAGGCUCUGCUGCUAAAACGCCGACUACGAGGAAAAAAUUCUGUUGCUGCUUAAUGUCAUCUAAAACAGCUAAUAUGGACCGUACCAUUACGCUGGCAGCCCAAUCUGAGAGGGCAAAAGAUUCUGCCCUUCCAUCCUCAAUAUUUGAAGUAGGCAAGUACAAUCCUCUAUGGAAAAAGUUAUCAUCAUUUUUCAAUUGAGAAAAUAUUUACUUAUAUUUUCUAAAAUUAUCUUCUACUAGGGUCAACGUCUGGUACGACUAAUGAACAAAAUCAGAAUUCUUAUACUAUUUUGAAUAGAGGUCCAAAGGUAAAUAAAACAGGCAACAUAACCAUUAGCCAAAUGCGAUCAGAAUACGUCCCACUAAAAUUAAUUUCACGUUGCAAGUUCUGUCGAGCUAAGAAAUUUCAGUUUGAACCUCCUGGAUUUUGUUGUAGCAAUGGUUCAGUCAGCUUAACUGCACACAAAAUGCCCACAGAAUUGCGGAAUUUAUAUGUAGGAAAUACUGAGGAAUCUAAACGCUUUCGCACAUACAUUAGAACAUACAAUAAUAUCUUUGCAUUUACAUCACUUGGUGUGAGCUACGACAAAGAUUUAGCGAGAAGAAAUCAUGGUAUUUAUACUUUUAGAGUUCAAGGACAAAUGUAUCAUUUCAUAGAUGAUCUAUUCCCUGCGAACCAAAAGGCAAAAAAUCUGCAAUUAUACUUCUAUGACAAUGAUAAUGAACUAGCAAACAGAAUGGCUUGUUCCGAUAGGAUUG